UACAGAGGGUGCAAGCGUUAAUCGGAAUUACUGGGCGUAAAGGGUGCGUAGGUGGUUAAUUAAGUCAGAUGUGAAAUCCCCGGGCUUAACCUGGGAAUGGCAUUUGAGACUGGUUAGCUAGAGUACAGAAGAGGGAAGUGGAAUUUCCGGUGUAGCGGUGAAAUGCGUAGAUAUCGGAAGGAACACCAGUGGCGAAGGCGACUUCCUGGUCUGUUACUGACACUGAGGCACGAAAGCGUGGGGAGCAAACAGG
rnacentral:rRNA from 1 species